rnacentral:lncRNA from 1 species
CGGCGCGUGCGCACAGGACGGGACGGGAGGGCGGAGCGACUGCGCAGAUCAGGAAAAUUGUCACCUCUGGCCUCAGGGAAACUGAGGCUCUGAGCAGUUAAGAGGCCAACGAUCCAGGUUUAUGCUAUCAGUGUCUGAGAUACAAUUAAGUCACCUUUUUGGGUGACAUUUCCCUUGACUAGUACCUCAAGAUUAUGAUCCAGGUGGACCAUCCCUCCAUUGCCUCCAGACAUGUCUAUGACGCUACCUAGGGAUUGUGAAGAUUUACCACCUGGUGGAAAAUUAAAAAAAAAGACUUAUUCUGCAAAUUGACCAAGCUUAAGAGAUACAGCACUGAGAAUUCACCCACUACAGAGCUGGUAACCAGGCCUUCAGAGUAAGCUGUGAUGUAUAGCCAUUCUCCUCAGCAGCCUGUUUGACUGAGGGAUAUAGGAAUGACUGCCCUUACCCAUGUUUUUGUUCAGAUUUAUGGUUCUAAAUCUGAUGGAAAAUCUAUCAUUGGACCAUUUGAUUCUUCCUAAAGAAAGGCCAAACCACCUGUCAAACCCACGAGCAACACAGCAAUGGCUAAGCUGAAGAAGCCAAGUUAUAUGUCUAGCUCCUCUGUGGGUGGCAGGAUCCAGCUGUGGGGAGUCCAAGGUUCCUUGUGUUCUUCUGGCUUGACUAUGAUAUUUCCAAUUUGGAGGCACAAAGAAUUGAGAACUUGGGGAUCCACUGAGGUCUGAGGCAUGGUGGUACCAGAAGAAAUAAAGGGGCCAUCAGCAUGAAGCUGGUCUCCCAUUGACAGCACCCUGACUUCUCCAUCAGGUUCUAUCAGCAUGUCUACUGUGAGGUUGGUGACGCUGUCUGCAGGUGGGUAUGCUUCAAUCACGCCACCUGGUCAGGAAACCAUGGAGUAGAGGAAAAGACACAGUCAAGGGAAUGCUAUGCUUAUAGCAGGAGGAAAUGCUCUGUGUUUUAGCAAGGGAACUUAGACUAUCUCACACCUGUCAUAUCCUGGGAAACUUUGGGUGAGUAGUUCAACCUUUGGCCUCCUUUUCCUUAUUUAUAGAAUGGAGGCAUAAUAUCUACCUUGCCAAGCUUUUGUGAAGUUUGAGAAACUGAGUCUAUGGUAUUUAGCCUGGUACUUGGAACAUGGGAGGGCUCAAUGAACAGUAAGUAGUCUUUAUUAUGAUCAUAAUUACAAAUAUUACAAAUACUUUAUAAAAGCCAUACUUAGAACAACUCAUUACGUUAAUAAAGAAUCCAAGGAUUGUGGUC